UACAGAGGAGCCGAGCGUUGUCCGGAUUGACUGGGCGUAAAGCGCACGCAGGCGGGUGCGCGCGUGGGGUGUGAAAUCUGGCCGCUUAACGGCCAGGCGCCAUCCCAUACGGCGCGCCUGGAGCCUUGCAGAGGGCGGUGGAAUUGCCGGUGUAGUGGUGAAAUGCGUAGAGAUCGGCAGGAACACCCAGGGGGAAACCAGCCGCCUGGGCAAGCGCUGACGCUGAGGUGCGAGAGCGUGGGGAGCGAACCGG
rnacentral:rRNA from 1 species